rnacentral:lncRNA from 1 species
AUGGGCCAUUGUGCCCAGUUCAGAGAAGCCUUUUCAGAGGGGAUGGUCAGGAGCUCCUCUUUGAGCAGUUUCAGGACUAGCAAUAAUUCGAAGGAGCUGGAAAAAAAUAUUCACAGUCCCCGGAAAUCUAGCGACGCGAUGAGGAUUCUUUCCUUUGGCUCUUCAAACCGAAGUCAACAGAAAAAGGUGGGGGUGGGGGGGCGUGUUUUUUGUGGUUCUAUCUUAAAAGAAAGAAUAAACACACACUUUCUUCCAUCCUCCUUUCCUUUUACCUGGUUUGGCUGAGCCUGAGAGCAAAGGUUCCAUUUGGGUUCAUUCCUUUCUUUGUGGGGCAGACGUCCUACAGCCUAGUUUUGGUGACGCAAUCUUGGAAGAGUGAAUCCUGUCCACCCACUGGCUGCUGGCCAUGGGAAUGUUAGCAAUUGCGGGUCAGGGCAGGUCAGAUCUCCUAAACAAAGGUCUGUAGGCAUCAGCAUACGCAGGGAGUACCAGGCAAAUCUGUCCCUCAUUCAUUGUGUGAUCUUGGGCAAGUUUAUCUGUAAAAUGGGAGUGGCUGGGUGCAGGGCUCACGCGUGUAAUCCCAGCACUUUGGGAAGCCGAGGCUGGCGGAUCGCCUAGGUCAGGAGUUGGAGACCAGCCUGACCAAUGUGGUGAAACCCUGUCUCUAAAAAAAAAAAAUAGCCAGGUGUGGUGGCAGGGGCCUGCAAUCCCAGCUACUCAGGAGGCUGAGGAAGGAGAAUCACUUGAACCCAGGUGGCGGAGUUUGCAGUGAGCUGAGAUCGUGCCACUGCACUCCAGCCUUGGGGACAGGAUAGGGUGUGGGCUGAGCUAAAAUCAUAGCCAUUGCUCUCUCCAGCUUUUAAAUUCUGGUGGAUCAACAAAAAUGAAACUUCCGAGCACCCUUAAUUGGCAGAGCUGAGGACGCAACAGCAGGAGUAGCUGUAGAGGGUGUGGCCUGGGUGGACUUCCUGCACUCCCAAGGGAUUUCAGAACAACAGCUAGCAGGAAAAGUGGGGUCAGCGAGGGGAGGAUGGACAGAGGGGGAAAAGACUGGGCAUGAGCUUGCCUGGGAUCACACAGCUGGGUGGAGGAGGAGGAGGGCAUGGCUUUGUGGCUGUGUGAGUUCAGGCCUCUUUAAAGUGGGGUUAGGAGGGGCUGGCUUCUCUGUGUGAGUUCAGGCCUCUUUAAAGUGGGGUUAGGAGCUCUAAGUUCUUUCAUAGAGAAGUUCCAGAGCCAGCAGCUUCCAUUUUGGCACUGCCAUUUCUGGGCAGCAUGUGAACCUGCAAGCCACUUAACCCUCCUGAGCUCCUGUUUCCUCUUGGAGGAGUGGAAUCAUGAUUCGCUCACGGGAAUGGGACUGUUUCCUGGGCUGAUGCCGGGGAGACUGUACAGCACACAAGGGGAGGCCGGGAUCGUUGUUGCCUUUCCCUUUCCUCAGUUAGAUAAAGCUGUGAAAGGCUUGGACACGGGCAAAGGGGAUGACUGGGUGUCCUUUGAGUGGAGCGCUGGGCAGUCAUCUGGUGGGGCUGGGGUCUGUCUUUGACUCGGUGAUUUACAAUCCCUGGAAAACUGAGAGAAAUGCCAACAAUUCCUGCUUAUUAAGCAUAAGUGCGGUGGCUCGUGCCUGUAAUCCCAGCACUUUGCAAGGCCAAGGUGGGCGGGUCGCUUGAGCUCAGGAGUCUGAGACCAGCCUGAGCAACAUGGCACAACCCCGUCUCUCUAAAAAGUACAAAAAUUAGCUGGGAGUGGUGCACACACCUGAAGUUGCAGUGAGCUGUGAUUGCGCCACUGUAUUCUAGCCUGGGCAACAGAGCCGAGACCCUGCAUCAGGAAAACAAAACAAAACUUAAAGAAACAUAAGUGAAUUUUGUCCUCUAAUGACACAACUGACUUGUAUUGCGGAUAACAGAUCAUUCCAGACGGUGUGUUUUCUCGACCUGCGGAUGUGAACCUGUUUCCUCUCCGUUGGCAUUCCUAGCUACCUGUACAUGUCUCUCCUUCAGAUUCUGCUGUGAAGUGCUUGUGGCAUCUCACUGGUUCCUUUAGUAAUUGGAGAGCUAAAUGAUACUUUGACAUAUUUUGUGUUGUAUGAGUCAUGACUUCACCUUUGAAAACGAUAUUUUAACGCCCACUUCCUUGAUGAUUCAGAAAUCAGUAAUUGAGAUCAGACUUUCACCAUCCAUUCCCCACUGCGGAUUCUAUAUUAAAUUCCAAGCCCUUCAUUCAUCCCCCAUCCCCAAUAAAGAAACAGUACACACACACGCACAACACACACGCAAGGGCACAUAACCCCCACAGGCCCAUAAAACUAGUGAUUUUUGUGAGGGGAGAGGCAUCGGGGUAUUUUGGUCUGAGUGGGGGAGGGACACCUGAGCUAUGAGGCAGUCUUCGGUCUUGGAGAACAAUUGCAGGGACCAAAUGAGACCGUACCUCAGGAGGGACCAAUACGGUGUUAGCAUUUGGAGUAAGUUUUACACCAAAUCCCAGCUCCAGCUCAAGUGAAAGGAUUGUACUGACCACGUCUUCCUGGGGCUCCCUCCCAGUGUCCUAUCCCCAACACUAAAAAGGGGGGCACCGAGCGCCAGCAGUAGGUAGUGCUGGGCUGGGUAAGGCUUUA